AUUGAACGCUGGCGGCAGGCUUAACACAUGCAAGUCGAGCGGGGUGAUGGUGCUUGCACUAUCACUUAGCGGCGGACGGGUGAGUAAUGCUUAGGAAUCUGCCUAUUAGUGGGGGACAACAUCUCGAAAGGGAUGCUAAUACCGCAUACGUACUACGGGAGAAAGCAGGGGAUCACUUGUGACCUCGCGCUAAUAGAUGAGCCUAAGUCGGAUUAGCUAGUUGGUGGGGUAAAGGCCUACCAAGGCGACGAUCUGUAGCGGGUCUGAGAGGAUGAUCCGCCACACUGGGACUGAGACACGGCCCAGACUCCUACGGGAGGCAGCAGUGGGGAAUAUUGGACAAUGGGGGGAACCCUGAUCCAGCCAUGCCGCGUGUGUGAAGAAGGCCUUAUGGUUGUAAAGCACUUUAAGCGAGGAGGAGGCUCUUUUGGUUAAUACCCAAGAUGAGUGGACGUUACUCGCAGAAUAAGCACCGGCUAACUCUGUGCCAGCCGCCGCGGUAA
rnacentral:rRNA from 1 species